UCAAUAAGCGGAGGAAAAGAAACCAACAGGGAUUGCCUCAGUAACGGCGAGUGAAGCGGCAACAGCUCAAAUUUUAAAGCUGGCGUCCUCGACGUCCGCGUUGUAAUUUGGAGAGGCACCUUCGGUUUGGGCGCCGGCUUAUGUUCCUUGGAACAGGACGUCACAGAGGGUGAGAAUCCCGUGCCGUCGGCUGUCCCAUUCCACGUGAAGUGUCUUCGACGAGUCGAGUUGUUUGGGAAUGCAGCUCAAAAUGGGUGGUAAAUUUCAUCUAAAGCUAAAUAUUGGUGGGAGACCGAUAGCGCACAAGUAGAGUGAUCGAAAGAUGAAAAGCACUUUGAAAAUAGAGUUAAAAAGUACGUGAAAUUGUGAAAGGGAAGCGCUUGAGACCAGACUCGGCUUCGGACGAUCAGCCUCCCUUCUGGGCGGUGCACUCGUCUUUGGUCGGGCCAGCAUCGGUUGAGACGGCGGGACAAGGGCUUCGGGAAUGUGGCUCCUCUCGGGGAGUGUUAUAGCCCGUGGUGCAAUGCCGCCCGCCUCGACCGAGGACCGCGCUUCGGCUAGGAUGCUGGCGUAAUGGUCUUCAGCGACCCGUCUUGAAACACGGACCAAGGAGUCUAACAUCUAUGCGAGUGUUUGGGUGUCAAACCCUUGCGCGGAAUGAAAGUGAACGGGGGUGGGAACCCGCAAGGGCGCACCAUCGACCGGUCCUGAUGUCUUCGGAUGGAUCGAGUAGGAGCAUAGCUGUUGGGACCCGAAAGAUGGUGAACUAUGCCUGAAUAGGGUGAAGCCAGAGGAAACUCUGGUGGAGGCUCGCAGCGGUUCUGACGUGCAAAUCGAUCGUCGAAUUUGGGUAUAGGGGCGAAAGACUAAUCGAACCAUCUAGUAGCUGGUUCCUGCG
rnacentral:rRNA from 1 species